UGCUAGAAAUCAAUCUAACUAUAAUAGUAUUAUUUAUUGCUCAUUUGAUUACAAACAUCUUAACUAAAUAAAUAAAAAAUACAUGCACUGGAGACCAACAUCUUAGUGAAAGAGUUCAUUCUUACAUGUAUGGCUUUUUGGGUAUCUCUCUUAGGAAAAUUUCACAUAGCUCGUUAACACACUUAUAAUAGCUAUAUGUAAAUACAUUUGGACAAUCUUCAUCGACUUUACAUUUAAUCCAUCCUGCAAAGGCACCAUCAACCUCUUUUGUAACAAGAAACAUGGAAAGAAAUGAAAUUAUAACGUAAAUAAACUUGAG
rnacentral:lncRNA from 1 species